CGUUGAGUCAUGAUUUGAAAACUUAAUAUUUACAACAUAUCACAAUCGCCCCCUCGUUUCUCUUCCUCCUACUAUGUCCACAAAGAAAACGUAUAAAAGGACUUUCAAUGAAACCAACAUUGUCAUCACGGAAGAGUACAUACCAAUGCUGGUACACAUUCAAACAGGAUAGCUUAGAAAAACCCUUAGAAACAGUCACGGCAAGAACGGAUUCAUAUAUUUUCAUAUUGAAGAAAACAAAGAAACAAAAACUUCAGUUUAAAGAAAACGAAAAUGAAAAAUACCACCUUGACCAUCGCGCUGUUAGCAUUCUGUCUUUUCGUAACGACAAACACUUUCGUUGUUUCUAGUGGCAAGCCUUUAUCAGGGAACGAGAUAACAGCACCCUUCAAUUUUGGGAGAUACUGCCAACUUCAUAUGACAGAGUGUUUGGAAUUCUGCAGCAGUCUUGACAUCUCCUUUGAAGAUUGUUUAUUGCUUUAACCUCAGUUAUAACGGACUUUAAUAUAUAUUUAAAACAAGAAUAAAAUAUUUAUUGUAUUAUUUGUAACGUAGCAUUUUAAUUAUCCUGCUAAUUGUU